rnacentral:rRNA from 1 species
GCAAGGCAGUGGCAGACAGGUAGUAACACGUACGAACGUACUCCCAAGUCAGGGAUAGCUCGCCGAAAGGCGGGGUAAUACUUGAUGGUCCCUACGGGGUAAAGAUUCCAAUUUAUUUUGGUUUGGCUUGGGAAGCGGCGUGCGCAGUAUCAGCUUGUUGGUAGUGUAACGGACUACCAAGGCUACGACGCUUAGGGGAGGUGAGAGCCUGACCCCCACCGAUGGGACUGAGACACGGCCCAU